AACCAGCUUAUCUAGUGUUGUGAUCUGAUUAUUAGGCUUAUGCAUUCAAAUAUUUGGAUCAAAUUUUUAACCAUAAGAAAAAAUAAAUUAAGAUAUUCAAAUGUUUUGAUGUUUUCAAAUGCUUUUAUUUUUAUUCUUUGUUUACACUUAUGACCAUAAUAGCAGUGACAUGAUACAUAAAAUAAACCCUUGUUGUCUUUUUGGCUAAGAUGCUCAGCCAAGUUUACUCGCGUUCCUGAGCAUUUUAAAGUGAUCACUUCGCCCUAGAUUUACAGACAGUGCGCUGACGCUCGGAUGCUGAUGGCAGACAAACCAAACAGUGAGAGUACAGGGCAUGAACGUAAGCAAACCUGUGAUUAAAGCACCUGAUUCUUUCCACAGGUGAGGUUUGCGCUGGAAUGUAAGGAGAGCCGUGGGCCUCACCUGCUGCUGCUGUUGCUGGGAGUGUACAGACAGAAACAGGGAGGCACGGUGGAAGGCGAGUGGGCGGGGUUUGCUCCAUUUUCUCUAUCGGUCCGAGAAGUUAGCACCAAAUCACAGGAGUCAGGUGUACCUGGAGAAACGCCGUCGUUCAGAGCAGCACGUUUGCGGUUUAUCCCGGAUUUACCUGCCGGCGAGAAUGCGCCAAUGAUCCGCUGAAGCCGAGAAUCGUAGCUACGCAUCAACUAAUCAAUAACAAUGAAGAAGGGGUCGCUGAAUUUUCUGGGUCGAAAGAGUCAUUCUCUUUUCGACACCAAUGUCAAAAUGAAGGAGAUGGACAAUGCAGAGUUGGUCCUGGGGUCAUCUGCAACUCCUGAGUCAGGGACUGCGAGCGUGCGGGCCAGACCCACAGUAAAGCAUUAUCCUUCCUCGUCUGAGAGUUUCCACGGCUUUGCUGUCCCAACGCCAAAAGUCCCUCUCCUCCCCCCUGUCAAUGGUCCAAAGAUCAACGGUUCAGUUGGUGGAGAUCUGUUGUCCAAUGGCUCCGUUACUUCAGUGCCUAACCUUGAUAAAGGAGAAAUAUUUGUUCCUCCUCCUCCUUCUGUAGCACCUCCACCACCUCCAAGUGAUUUUAUUCCACCUCCACCAGACUUCCUGGGUGAUUUAAACACUCUAGAUCCAGCAACCCUACAGCCUCCUUCCAUGCCCGCACCAAACCCUCCUUCAGUAGAACCAAAGGAUUUAUCGUUCCUAAAACCACCACCAAUGGCUCCACCAAAGCCUCCGUCUACCACUUCUACUGGCUCUGCAUCAUCCAUACCCAUCUCUAGUCCGCCGUCAGCUCAAAUUCCAGAGCAUCCAAAAUUUGCUGCCCCACAGCCCCCUACUGAAAGGCAACAGAAGACUCAGAAGAAACCUCCUCCAAAGCCCAUUAGAAUUUCCUCAGUCUCCAACUCUGACUCCCCCCCACAGACUCCUGCACCACCACCCCCUGUGCAGACACCCACAUUGUCCACCUUCAAUCCCCAAAACACAGCAAAGGUUUACACUGCUCCUAAAACCUCAUUUUUCAAUGUGCUUGAAGACCGUGACAAAAAACCUAAGCACAUGUUACUCCUGGAAGAUUCUGGGUCUUCCAGCUCUGGCCCUGUUCUUGUUCAGGUGGAUGGCAAUGCUCCCAAAGUGCCUACACUAUCUAAACCAGUUCCCAAUGUAAAGGAGCUGGAGGAGAAUUUACAAGUUGCCCAACCUUCUGAAUCUACCCCAUUUGAGCAAAAGACAGUGACUAAGACAGAGACUAAGACAAAGGCUAAAACAGAGACAAUUUCAGUGCAACCAGAAAUAACCAACCCAGUGCAGCCACCGCUUCAGAAGUCUCUACAGCUUGAUGAAGUUGACAAUACUCUGAUUAAUUUAGAGACCAGCAAGGACAAACUUGGAGAGAACCAAAUUCCAAAAGCAGAAAGUCCAAAAGCAGAAAAUUCUAGAGAGUACCAAAGUCCAGCCCCAGUCAAACCAGGAGAGUACCAAAGUCCAGCCCCAGUCAAACCAGGAGAGUACCAGAGUGCAACCCCAGUCAAACCAGGAGAGUACCAAAGUCCAGCCCCAGUCAAACCAGGAGAGUACCAAAGUCCAACCCCAGUCAAACCUGGAGAGUACCAAAGUCCAACCCCAGUCAAACCUGGGCGGUAUCAAAAUCCAAACCAGAAAUACAGUCCGAUAUUGGAUCAUAAACUACGUAGCCUGAAAGGAAGUGAAACCCACGGAGCACGAGACGGCCAUGCGGCUUCUCCACUGGCUCUUCUAAAGGCAGCUAAAGAAAGAGAGAAAAACAGAACGACGCACUCUAUUUCACGGGAAAACAGUGGAAAGAACAAUGAGCAGCCAAGUAUUCACUCAAGUGACCUUCCAAGUUCUGGCUCUUCAGCUGUAAAAUUGACAGAAAAAAUAUUACCAGAGACUCCAAAAUCCUUCAGUCCAGUAGACCGUCCACAAACAAAUGAUGCUCCUGAAACUUCAAGCAGUCAUGCACUGGUCAAUGGUCAGGCACCAUCUACCAGUCCAGCUCUCAGCAGGAUCAUAGAAACCCCUACUGUUAGCAAAAAAGCAGAGGAGAGACAAAAUGCAUAUCAAAGCAGCUCACUGUCUCAGACUCCAAAACCUGAGGGCAAUAAAGAUGGGUUCAGCAUGCCAUUACUGCCUCCACCACCAGAGUUUGAUGAUUUAAACAAAAUUAUGGACCUGCCACCUUCCAUCAUUCCACCGGACCCUCCCACAAAAAAGGCACCAUCACCACCUGUAACCUCUCUUUCUCCUGCCUCAGUUCAGUAUCCUUUGAAUAAGACACAGCCCUCUGCAAGUCCUCCCUCUUCAGUUCCACCUCCUCCUCUGAAGACAGCACCCACAGCUUCAGUUCCACCUCCUCCUCUGAAGACAGCACCCACAGCUUCAGUUCCACCUCCUCCUCCGAAGACAGCACCUCCAGCUUCAGUUCCACCUCCUCCUCCAAAGACAGCACCUCCAGGUUCAGUUCCACCUCCUCCUCUAAAAACAGCACCUACAGUUUCAAUUCCACCUCCUCCUCUGAACCCCCAACCUCCUAAUGUCCAACCAAAGGCACAAGUCCAGACAAAACCCAAGCCAGACUCCACUCAGCCAGCACGCACUCUGGAACAAAGACAUUUUGAUCUCCAGUGCAUCCUAAAAAAGAAGCUGGAGGAAAUGGCCCCCAAAAUGUCCCACCAAAAGGAAGACGUAGAGCCUUCCUCUGAUGAAUGGGAGGCCAAUGACCAGCUGAAAUCACCAACUACCAAAUAUCACCAGAAAGCAGCAACUCUGGACAUGAGGGAGCUGCAGCGUAAAGUGGACAAAAAAUAUUCAGAUAACUCGUCAACAAAAGUUUUCAGCAGCAAUGGACCGAAGUCUAAAUAUCAACAUGGUAUGACUUUCACAGUUCGGCCUGGAACCAAAAAUCCUAUUACUUAUCAUGAAUAGCGGGGAUUAUUAAGGGUCUUUGGAUUCUUGGACAUGUUGGGAUCUUCAACACAGACUAUGGGAUUCAACGUGUGUGAAACUAUCCUUUUAUCAGCAGCAGUGUGUACCACAGCUGAAAAAGGCAGCUUCACACAGAUUAUUUACACAUUAGUGGGUAGCAAAUAUGUUAAGAAUGCCAGUUGACAAAGGACUGCCGAGUCGUAAAGGCGAACGCGACACGGUCACUGUCAAAUGGUGUUUUCUUUUCCAUUGUGUCACAGUCAGAAAGAAUGUUUUAAACAUUUGUGUAGUUGCUGCUAAUUAUUUAGUCUUAAGCUAUAUUUUGCUAUAUGUUGACUUUUUAAUCACAGCGUUGGGUAAUAUUAUUGUAUAGGUAAACUCCAUUAAUAUUCAAAUAAAAAAAGUUAAAAGUUUUUUAAAAAGUCUUUUAUUGAACAAUGAAAAAUUAUAAUUGUAAAAUAUAGUAAUUUGGAGCAUAACUGUUAUUAUUUCAUGCUGUAAUUACCUGCCAAAUAAUGGGAAAUGUUCUUUCACUGUUACAUCUUGAUUAUGAAAGUCUUAUGGAGCAAACUAGUGGAGGUCUAGUGUGAUUCUCACAUUUAUUUAUCCCAUCAAAUCCUUUAUGGUUUGUAUAGGAUUUUCUAUACCACUACAGUAAAAAGUGUUAAUCUAGUUACGUAUACAUUGUUAUUGAUGGAUAUAUCAAUUUGUAUGAUAUGAAAAUCACAUUUGGACAUUGCAAGAUGUAGUUAUAUGUACAUGUUAAAGUUGUAUAUAGAAAGUCAUCAAAUUAAGAUGUUCAUCUCACUGGUUUCUCUAAGUAGGAAAUAAAUGUAACAAACAGCUGAGUAUUUAAUUGAAUUGCAUUGCGUUUUUUUUCACAACCCCAUUUCCAGAAAAAGUUGAUACGCGGCUUAAUUGUAUGUAAAAACACUGCAGUGAUUUGCAUCAUCCUGGUAAUUAAAGCUUUUAUCUGUGGCUCAGAAUGUAAGUGCAGAUUUAAUAUCCUGGGAAAUUCCCAGGUUACAGUAUUGUUUAGUUUGUGGUUUUAGUUUGUUGUUAGGUGGUUGCUAGACAGUGUGACAUCAUCAUGUGUCAUGCUUAGUUUUUGGGAUAUAAAUUAUGUGUUACUGUUGUGAAAUGAAAAUGAUACAAUACUUUUAUAAGUCUCUUCUAGCUGCGUAAAAGCUACAAAUGUGUCAUUGUGCUACAUUGUCAGAUGGCUGCUAGGCAACACGACGACCUCAUAAUAUUUUAUAUAAACAAGAACCGUCAGGGCCCCAUGAAGAACCUGUGUGCCAACUCCAGAUUGUGUAGGAGCUUGUGUGCAAACAGAGAUUUUUUAUAUUAAAGAUUUAAGCUGGCUAAAGAACUGGUUUAAGUUUUUCCCCCCUUCUAAGAAUUUUCCCAAGUAGCAUCAUGCAAUUAAUUCCAAAAUACUGCUAACAAAGAAAUGUAUCAGAUUUAGUUAUGAGGUAGUUUUUGUUGUUGGUGUGCUUUGUGCUUUGACCAAAACAUGUCAAAGCACAUGUAAUUUAACAGACCACCAUGAAAGCCUUAAAUGUACCAAAAGUUAUAGAUCGUUAUUAUCUACAACAUCAGACCCCACAUUGACACUGUUAGUGAAUGACUGGGGUCUGCUUCAGCCACACCCUUACCAACAGAGUGGUGUAUAUUUACAGGGGAUGUUAUCAAAAAGUUCCAACAAUAAAAUAAGUUCUGCUAAUAAAAAGCAAAAAACAACAACAAAAAGAAACAUACUCAAUUUAAAUUUAGCUACUAUGCUGCUCAAGAUAGUUUCCUUCAUUGCUUCUCCACGGCUACCAUUACUUCUGUGUUGAAAUGUCUUCUGCGCCAAAGUGAACCAUUCUAGAUCUGGAAGAUUUACGAGUGGUUGGUCUGAGGUUAAGAGUAUACCCCAGGAACAUUUUUGUCCUGUUUUUUUUUUUGUUUUUUUUGUUAAAUAUUUACUGGGUAAAGCAUCAUCACUUUCAGUGCACAGUUGUACUGUAACAUCCUGAGGUUUCCCAGGGUGAGCAUUCUUUUCAAAUAAAAACUUUCACUCACA
ensembl:lncRNA